AACGAACGCUGGCGGCGCGUCUUAAGCAUACAGAUGGAUUCGCGUCCGAUUAGAUAGUUGGUGAGGUAACGGCCCACCAAGUCGACGAUCGGUAGCCGGACUGAGAGGUUGAACGGCCACAUUGGAACUGAGAAACGGUCCAGACUCCUACGGGAGGCAGCAGUGGGGAAUAUUGGGCAAUGGGCGAAAGCCUGACCCAGCGACGCCGCGUGAGGGAAGAAGGUCUUCGGAUUGUAAACCUUAGUCAACAGGGAAGAAGCAAGUGACGGUACCUGUGGAGGAAGCCACGGCUAACUACGUG
rnacentral:rRNA from 1 species